UUCACACAUUUGACACAAAACAACUGUCGAACUUUUUUAUGCGUGUAGUAAUAAGUGCUGCCAUCAGCAGGCGUGCCGCAAAAAUGCACAACACAUUCAAAUGGAAGAAAUGGGCGCAGGAAAAAACUCUAAAAUAAAAGUAGAAGCGGAAAAGUUUACAAAAAGGACGUCGAGCGACCUGAAGCUGAUCUACAAUGGAAAUCUUGUAUUUGUACUAUCCGCAUGCAGCAAAUAGUGAAUAGAAAAGACACGCAUGAAGCGAAUACUUUUUACCAGAGAAAAAGCUACAUCUGUGCACGCAUCUGCACGCACUCAAUCAUCGGUGUGUUGCACAAGGUCUGACACUUUUGAUAGCAUCUCUCCGCACGCAGCCGACGAGUGGAAUGGAGUGGAGUGGAGUGGAGUGGAGUGGAGCGGAGUGAGCGCGCAGCCGGUCCUUUAGUUGUUGGCUUCACCUUCAGAUGGUCAAAUGGUCAGCAAGCGGCGAAAUUGAAAAUUUUUUGAAAUAAAAAAGGCCAUCUUGGCCGCAUGAAGAACAAAAAAACCACGUUAAGUCAAUGCCGAAAGAGGUUGCACGCAACAGUAACCAGUUUGCUUAGCCCAGUACCCCACUAGGCGCACGUGUGUAAAUCUAAAUCUGUGUAGUUGCGGUUUAAACUUAAAUUUGAUAUGGCUGACGCAUUCUGAGAAUGUUUUUAUAUGUGAACUGUAGAAGCUGUCAACGCAGCUGCUUCCAUUCUUUUAAUCGGUCAGUUAGUUUACUUGGAAGGCUACAGUAGGCAUAACGGAAUUCAAUUUUGUCUACUUGGAGGCACCAAUAAUGAUAACAGUCCUGAAGUACGGUGAGAAG